CACAUUGGCUCUAAUCAUAGAUUUCUCCAUCUCCUUAUAAUACUCUUCAACAGAGAGACUUCCUUGCUUCAAAUUCUGCAAUUUAUCAAAAAGAUCACGCCGAUAGUGCUUCGGCACAAAACGACUUCUCAUUUCUCUCUUCAUUUCAUCCCAAGUUGCAAUAGGAUGUCUUCCAUCUUCUUCACGAUCACUGAGGAGCUGCUCCCACCAUAUCAAAGCAUAUCCUUCAAACUCCAGAGAUGCCAUU
rnacentral:lncRNA from 1 species